rnacentral:tRNA from 1 species
GCGCUCGUAGCUCAGUGGAUAGAGUACUGGCCUCCGAAGCCAGGGGUCGCUGGUUCGAUCCCAGCCGGGCGCGCCA